rnacentral:rRNA from 1 species
GAUGAACGCUGGCGGCGUGCCUAAUACAUGCAAGUCGAGCGAACGGACGAGAAGCUUGCUUUUCUGAUGUUAGCGGCGGACGGGUGAGUAACACGUGGAUAACCUACCUAUAAGACUGGGAUAACUUCGGGAAACCGGAGCUAAUACCGGAUAAUAUUUUGAACCGCAUGGUUCAAAAGUGAAAGACGGUCUUGCUGUCACUUAUAGAUGGAUCCGCGCUGCAUUAGCUAGUUGGUAAGGUAACGGCUUACCAAGGCAACGAUGCAUAGCCGACCUGAGAGGGGGAUCGGCCACACUGGAACUGAGACACGGUCCAGACUCCUACGGGGGGCAGCAGUAGGGAAUCUUCCGCAAUGGGCGAAAGCCUGACGGAGCAACGCCGCGUGAGUGAUGAAGGUCUUCGGAUCGUAAAACUCUGUUAUUAGGGAAGAACAUAUGUGUAAGUAACUGUGCACAUCUUGACGGUACCUAAUCAGAAAGCCACGGCUAACUACGUG